rnacentral:rRNA from 1 species
AACGAACGCUGGCGGCGCGCCUAAUACAUGCAAGUCGAGCGAGAAGGUGUAGCAAUACACUUGUAAAGCGGCGAACGGGUGAGGAAUACAUGGGUAAUCUACCAUCGAGUGGGGAAUAACCAACCGAAAGGUUGGCUAAUACCGCGUACGCCUCCGAGUCUUCGGGUUCGGAGGGAAAGCUGCACUGUGAGUGUAGCGCUCUUUGAUGAGCUCAUGUCCUAUCAGCUUGUUGGUAGGGUAACGGCCUACCAAGGCUUUGACGGGUAGCUGGUCUGAGAGGACGAUCAGCCACACUGGCACUGCGACACGGGCCAGACUCCUACGGGAGGCAGCAGUAAGGAAUAUUGCGCAAUGGGCGAAAGCCUGACGCAGCGACGCCGCGUGGAGGAUGAAGGUUUUUGGAUUGUAAACUCCUUUUGUGGGGGAAAGAAUGGAUGGUACCCCAAGAAUAAGUCACGGCUAACUACGUGCCAGCAGCCGCGGU